rnacentral:lncRNA from 7 species
UUCGUCCUGCCGGCGGGAGGAGGUGGUAGCGGUGGGCGGCAGGUUUCCACCCUGGGACUGUCUUCUAAGGCAAACUAUCACCAAUGGAAGUAAAAUUUGUUUUUCCAGCAUUCUGGGGCUUUGAAGUUGUGAUCGUUCUGGAGAAGAAAUACAUCGAGUGAUGCAUGUUGGCCCCCAGCAAGGGGCUGAAAACGAUGCAGUCAGUGCAGCAAGGAGGCGCGUUGCCCCUCCAGCCGGGAUGUGGUAGGAGUGUGCUCACAGAUCUGCAGUGUCUUCGUAUUACAUCACCAAGUACUGAGAUACUGUCCUUCAAAAUGAUUUUCUCUAUCAGAAGAGGAGAAAAACCAGUGUGCACACAAAAACCCCACAAACUUACCAGACUUAACUUGAUUGCUUAUGCCUUCUUGUCGACCCAAACAGUAUUCCCAAUAGGAAUAGUUAUGUAUAAAGAUUUCUCUGAAGGAUAGACUCAGGCUGCUUCAUAAAUGAAUUUAACUUUUUUUAUUUUAAAUAAAAUCUCUGAAAUAUUCUUG